GAUGAACGCUGGCGGCGUGCUUAACACAUGCAAGUCGAACGGAAAGGCUCCUGCUUGCAGGGGUACUCGAGUGGCGAACGGGUGAGUAACACGUGGGUGAUCUGCCCUGCACUUCGGGAUAAGCCUGGGAAACUGGGUCUAAUACCGGAUAGGACGAUGGUUUGGAUGCCAUUGUGGAAAGUUUUUUCGGUGUGGGAUGAGCUCGCGGCCUAUCAGCUUGUUGGUGGGGUAAUGGCCUACCAAGGCGUCGACGGGUAGCCGGCCUGAGAGGGUGUACGGCCACAUUGGGACUGAGAUACGGCCCAGACUCCUACGGGAGGCAGCAGUGGGGAAUAUUGCACAAUGGGCGCAAGCCUGAUGCAGCGACGCCGCGUGGGGGAUGACGGCCUUCGGGUUGUAAACUCCUUUCGCUAGGGACGAAGCGCAAGUGACGGUACCUGGAGAAGAAGCACCGGCCAACUACGUG
rnacentral:rRNA from 1 species